AGAACGAACGCUGGCGGCAUGCCUAAUACAUGCAAGUCGAACGAACACUUCGGUGUUAGUGGCGCACGGGUGCGUAACGCGUGGGAAUCUGCCCUUGGGUUCGGAAUAACAGUUGGAAACGACUGCUAAUACCGGAUGAUAUCGAAAGAUCAAAGAUUUAUCGCCCAGGGAUGAGCCCGCGUAGGAUUAGCUAGUUGGUGAGGUAAAGGCUCACCAAGGCGACGAUCCUUAGCUGGUCUGAGAGGAUGAUCAGCCACACUGGGACUGAGACACGGCCCAGACUCCUACGGGAGGCAGCAGUAGGGAAUAUUGGACAAUGGGCGAAAGCCUGAUCCAGCAACGCCGCGUGAGGGAUGACGGCCUUCGGUGUAAACCUCUUUCAGCGCCGACGAAGCGAGAGUGACGGUAGGCGCAGAAGAAGCACCGGCCAACUACGUGCCAACAGCCGC
rnacentral:rRNA from 1 species